rnacentral:tRNA from 1 species
GGACCAGUAGCUCAGCUUGGUUAGAGCGCCACGCUGAUAACGUGGAGGUCGCAGGUUCAAAUCCUGCCUGGUCCACCA